CGGCCCUGGAAGACUUUCGAGCCGUGAAGCUCUACGAGCCGGCCCCGCCCAUCCGAAGGACUUAAAGAGACAGACGCAAGUUUAUCUGGAAAACUUAACCAGCGAGAAAGGGUCCAAGCAGUCUGAUUUCUGAAUAAAAGGAGUCCUCCUGAUCACUGUUAGCGCGGGCGAUGGCUGCGGAUGGCCUCCCUCAGCUGUGCCACCCAAGUGUCUGACAGCCACCUCGAAAACAGCAGGACUCAGCAACAUUGGAGUGGUCUGGCAAGCAACCUUGUGGCCGGUCUCCUGCCUGGACCUGGUUAAUGUUACGAACUGCUCCGGACUUCUGGGACUGCCUCCUCCUCAUAGAGGAAGCUACUUUCUCCUCCUGUUGCUCUUUUAAUGCCCUGGGCUUCCCUCUGCCCUAGCAAUGCUCGCCUGAAUUGCUACUGUUUGCUCAUGUUUGCCAUCCUGUGAACACUUGGAGAACAGAGACCUGGAAGGAUUCUAUUCUCUGGGAGGCCAGUACCAGGCAAGGGCGGCAGCACACAGUUAACUGUUCACGGCUCUAACGCGGACUGAAAGGGUCUAUAGAUAGUUCUCGCUGUUUGGAGCAGUGUAAACGGCAGACGCUUGAUUCACAACCCACACAAAGAGACCAGUGUCUUUGGCCUCACCACACAGGGUACUUCCCAUUUGACUUCUAACAUACUCUGCUUGUUAAUUAUUGUUGAUAAUGGUUUUUUAACUGGCUAGCAGUCAGAUGUAAUAACACAUUAGUCAUUAUAAUUCAUAUGAAGGGGCUUUUUAAAAAAAAGAAAAGAAAAGAAAGA